GACAGAGGAGCCAAGCGUUGUCCGGACUGACUGGGCGUAAAGCGCCCGCAGGCGGCCGUGCACGUGGGGUGUGAAAGCUCGCGGCUUAACUGCGAGAGGCCAUCCCAUACGGCGCGGCUCGAGCCGUCAAGAGGCCGGUGGAAUUGCCGGUGUAGUGGUGAAAUGCGUAGAGAUCGGCAGGAACACCCAGGGGGAAGCCAGCCGGCUGGGGACGUGCUGACGCUCAGGGGCGAAAGCGUGGGGAGCGAACAGG
rnacentral:rRNA from 1 species